rnacentral:lncRNA from 1 species
CUAUCUCCAGGGAGAGGCCAUGAAGGCAAAAUUACAGUACAGAUCCUGUGUUUUGAGGCCCAGAGCUUGGGGGGAGAUGUAUCCCCUGAGCUGGUCCAGAGCAGAGCACUCAGCCGGGAGCGUGGAAGCCAGAGAUGACUGGAGAAGCGGGAGGAACUGAGAACUGCUGAAGAUCAGCAGAGAGGAGGCUGGAGAUGCCCUCAGGGGGAUGGAGAACCUGCUGAGGAGGCUGGAGAAAAUGUCUUCUGCAAGGCUGCCUCACCACCCACGUGCAGAGCAGGGAGAGCUGGGGGUCUUCGCUGAGUUAGUCUCAUGCGCCUGGGAUGGCCCAAAGGACCCAGAAAGUCACGCAUGAGGACACCGGGAGGAAGCUAAGCCUAAGCUGUUCUACUGGGGCAGGCAAGGAAGGCAUUCAAGGCCCGGACAUAGGACUGUAUUUAUGCAGCAGCCCUUGCCUCCCUCCCUCCCUCUGCCUCCCUCUUUCUGUUCUGAAGAACCCUGGAGAAGGCAGGAUGGUGAUUGACAUCCACCUGACCUGGAAAGCCCAUCUUCCUUUGCGAUACAGUUUAUUUACAGGGUUCUCUUGCAGCUAGGGGUUAUCAGUCUCAUAUUUUGGUACAAUGAGAUUUAGUGAAAAGUCAAUGGAGAAGAUACACACACACACACACACACACACAC